UAUUACAUGCAAGUCGAGCGGACAGAUGGGAGCUUGCUCCCUGAUGUUAGCGGCGGACGGGUGAGUAACACGUGGGUAACCUGCCUGUAAGACUGGGAUAACUCCGGGAAACCGGGGCUAAUACCGGAUGCUUGUUUGAACCGCAUGGUUCAAACAUAAAAGGUGGCUUCGGCUACCACUUACAGAUGGACCCGCGGCGCAUUAGCUAGUUGGUGAGGUAAUGGCUCACCAAGGCGACGAUGCGUAGCCGACCUGAGAGGGUGAUCGGCCACACUGGGACUGAGACACGGCCCAGACUCCUACGGGAGGCAGCAGUAGGGAAUCUUCCGCAAUGGACGAAAGUCUGACGGAGCAACGCCGCGUGAGUGAUGAAGGUUUUCGGAUCGUAAAGCUCUGUUGUUAGGGAAGAACAAGUACCGUUCGAAUAGGGCGGUACCUUGACGGUACCUAACCAGAAAGCCACGGCUAACUACGUGCCAGCAGCCGCGGUAAUACGUAGGUGGCAAGCGUUGUCCGGAAUUAUUGGGCGUAAAGGGCUCGCAGGCGGUUUCUUAAGUCUGAUGUGAAAGCCCCCGGCUCAACCGGGGAGGGUCAUUGGAAACUGGGGAACUUGAGUGCAGAAGAGGAGAGUGGAAUUCCACGUGUAGCGGUGAAAUGCGUAGAGAUGUGGAGGAACACCAGUGGCGAAGGCGACUCUCUGGUCUGUAACUGACGCUGAGGAGCGAAAGCGUGGGGAGCGAACAGGAUUAGAUACCCUGGUAGUCCACGCCGUAAACGAUGAGUGCUAAGUGUUAGGGGGUUUCCGCCCCUUAGUGCUGCAGCUAACGCAUUAAGCACUCCGCCUGGGGGAGUACGGUCGCAAGACUGAAACUCAAAGGAAUUGACGGGGGCCCGCACAAACGGUGGAGCAUGUGGGUUUAUUUCGAAACAACGCGA
rnacentral:rRNA from 1 species